rnacentral:rRNA from 1 species
UACGUAGGUUGCAAGCGUUGUCCGGAUUUACUGGGUGUAAAGGGCGUGUAGGCGGGAAAUUAAGUCAGAUGUGAAAGUCCAUGGCUCAACUGUGGGAGUGCAUCUGAAACUGAUUUUCUUGAGUACUGGAGAGGAAAGCGGAAUUCCAAAUGUAGCGGUGAAAUGCGUAGAGAUUUGGAGGAACACCAGUGGCGAAGGCGGCUUUCUGGACAGUAACUGACGCUGAGGCGCGAAAGCGUGAGGAGCAAACAGG